AUUGAACGCUGGCGGCAGGCCUAACACAUGCAAGUCGAGCGGCGGCGGACGGGUGAGUAACGCGUAAAGAACUUACCUCACAGUUAGGGACAACAUUUGGAAACGAAUGCUAAUACCUCAUACUGUGAGAGAGCUUUGCGUCCCUUUAGCUAGUUGGAGAGGUAACGGCUCACCAAGGCGAUGAUGGGUAGCCGGCCUGGGAGGGUGAUCGGCCACAAGGGGACUGAGACACGGCCCUUACGCCGACGGGAGGCAGCAGUGGGGAAUAGUGGACAAAGGACCAAAGUCUGAUCCAGCAAUUCGGUGUGCACGAUGAAGUUUUCGGAAUGUAAAGUGCUGUCAGUUGGGAAGCGGUACCAACAGAAGAAGUGACGGCUAAAUACGUGCCAGCAGCCGCGGUAAUUC
rnacentral:rRNA from 1 species